UACAGAGGGGGGCAAGCGUUGCUCGGAAUCACUGGGCGUAAAGGGCGCGUAGGCGGGAUGGCAAGUCGGUCGUGAAAUCCUUCGGCCCAACCGAAGAACGUCGGCCGAUACUGCCGUUCUUGAGGGAUGCAGAGGAGACUGGAAUUCCCGGUGUAGCGGUGAAAUGCGCAGAUAUCAGGAGGAACACCCGUAGCGAAGGCGGCACUCUGGGCCGAUACUGACACUGAGGAGCGAAAGCGUGGGGAGCGAACAGG
rnacentral:rRNA from 1 species